AGCCAUGUAGUGAAUACAAAGCGAAUUAUUCUUUCGCCUUUUACUAAAGAAUACGGUGUAUUCUCUACUUAUAGUGGUAUACGAUAAUUUUUUUAAAGGGCUUGACACAGACCCU